rnacentral:rRNA from 1 species
AGUGAACGCUGGCGGUAGGCCUAACACAUGCAAGUCGAACGGCAGCACAGUAAGAGCUUGCUCUUACGGGUGGCGAGUGGCGGACGGGUGAGGAAUACAUCGGAAUCUACUUUUUCGUGGGGGAUAACGUAGGGAAGCUUACGCUAAUACCGCAUACGACCUACGGGUGAAAGCAGGGGAUCUUCGGACCUUGCGCGAUUGAAUGAGCCGAUGUCGGAUUAGCUAGUUGGCGGGGUAAAGGCCCACCAAGGCGACGAUCCGUAGCUGGUCUGAGAGGAUGAUCAGCCGCACUGGAACUGAGACACGGUCCAGACUCCUACGGGAGGCAGCAGUGGGGAAUAUUGGACAAUGGGCGCAAGCCUGAUCCAGCCAUACCGCGUGGGUGAAGAAGGCCUUCGGGUUGUAAAGCCCUUUUGUUGGGAAAGAAAAGCAGCAGGUUAAUACCCCGCUGUUCUGACGGUACCCAAAGAAUAAGCACCGGCUAACUUCGUG